AUGUUCAUCAGUGUUUCCUACCACCACUGGUAUUCCUCCUCCCUCACACACACAAACACUCUGAAUGAUCUGAACCUCCUUUGUACAUCCACUUUAGAUUCAACUGCACCUUUUAAGAUCAGGACUAAACGUGGUGCUCGCUCGCUGCCCUGGAUUCACAAAGACAUUCACAGUCUGAAAAGACAAUGCCGGAGACGGAAGAAGGUGAAUCUUCAGCUCCGUCAUCAAGAAAUGAAAGCAUGAACGACUGCUUUCAAUGAACAGGUGAACGAGGCGAGGGCCGGCUAUUUCUCUCCUUUAAUUCAUUCUAAUAAGCACAGCCCAGAGCUCUUUGGAGCUCAGUGGAGCGUCUUUGACAUCCUGCAAGUUUUCAUCAGAUUACGGCAUCGAGUGAGGAACGUCUUCACUUUCUAAACUUUCUGAAGGAUCAAAUGAAUGAGAGGAAAUCCAAACCAGCAGCUCCUGAUUCUUUUCUUGAUGUCCCCGACCCCAGCCACAAUAUCUGAUCUUCUUUUCUGCCAGUCUCUGUGGAGGAGCUUUGAAGGACUGUGGCACAACUGAAACGCUCAUCAAGCUGUGUAGAUAUGAUUCCUCCAAAGUUCCUGAGUGAAGUUUGGGAUGUCCCUGCCCCUCGGCUGCUUCCAAUAAUGAACACUUGUCUGUCCUCUGGCUGUGUCCCAGAAUACUUAAAGACAGCCUGUGUGCAAGCACUCAUCAAAGAUCCAGCCUCCAUCCUUCUGACUACAACAAUUACAGAGCCAGCUCAAAGUUUCCUUUUAGAGCAGAACUUUUGGAGAACACUGUCUGUCUGAAGCUUCUUGAAGCGUUACGUCCAUGCUAGAACUCCACUUUGACUCUGACUGUGGAUCCUGCUGAAGCUUCUCCAAAUAGUGGAGAAAUGAAGACCUCCACAAGAUCAGCAGACCCAGCUCAACAAUGUCUGCAGGUGCUAACAGGUCAAUCUUUGAGACGCUGAAUGUUCCCAGUUUCCUGCUGUGAAACUAGAAGUGAUGACUAUUAUUGUAACAGCACUACAGCUGGAACUGCUGACAGGGCUGGAGAUGAACUGGAUUCUGAUUUCAGUCACAGUUUUGGCUUUCAGUCGUCAUCAAAACACUUUGUUUCAUUCAUGUUGCUCUGAAGCUUUCCUUUCUUCUCAUUGACGUGUUAUGAACCAAUCACAGCCCUUUCCUUUACAGCGCUCUGCUUUCACCCCUCCCAAAAGCCCAAAUUCACUCUCAGUUUAGUUCAGCUGGAGCCAAGAUGACACAGAGAGCCUUUGGUCCAUGAGAUCUAUCUAGGAGACAUCAGUAACAUCAGGUUUGUGUGAGCCGUCCUGUAGAACGCUUACAUACAGCUGCUUCUGUCUCUGAUCUCUGAGUAUCUCUCAGCUUCAGCUGGGACUCCACCCAGGUGUUGGUUGGUUGUUGGCACAGGUGUAGAGCUGCUGCAGUGACUCACAGCUGCUUUCAUCCAGUUUAAAUUCAAUGGUGACUUUAAGCAUGUUUCAUGUAUGAAAGCCAAUAAAGACAGAAUGAGUGGUCAGAGGUGUCAUAAUGAGAUUCAUGGUCAGAUUUACUAACAGUUCAAAAGCUGCUGUCUGAAUUUACUAAGAGCUGCAGGUCAGUCUGGGACUGAAACACGAGGAGCAAACUGGUGCCAUGCUGCAGUCACAAACAUGAGCUGAUGGCUGAUCUACCAGCAACGUGCUGCUUUAUAUACAAACAUGCAGCCAAUCAUGACUCUGUCAGAGCAGCCAAUCAGAGGAAAGCAGCAGAUGAGGGAGUGUGAGGCAGAGAGUGAUGGAGCAACCAGAAUAAUCCACAGUAAGCUCAGGUUUCACUGAUGAGUUUCUCUGUGGAAACAGUUCAGAUCAAUGAGAGGAGGCUGAAGGAGGAUCAAUAUGUUUGUGAUAUCAGGGAGAACUCUGCUGAUAGAAGCUGCUGGGACUGUGUGAGGUCCUGAGGACUGAGACUCAGGUGGAGCUCAGGAUUGAUCAGAGGAGAGCUGCAUGAUUACAAAGUGAACUGUGAGGAUCAGCUGACUGUACAUGAACAUGAUUUAGCAUCAGAUCUGAUCAGUUACACACUCUGAUAACAUCUCCCCUCUCUGUGCAAAUACAUGAACACUGCUAGAAGCAACAAUCACAACCACAUCAGGAUCAAUCACAUUUUGAUUGCUUUUUCUGUUCCAUUGAGAACAAUCUGCAGUAAAGUGUGCGUCACAGACCUGAUUUAUUUCAACACUUUACUCCAAACUUUGAAAGUGAAACUCAUACAAACACAUAUGAAAUAAUCCAGCCACAGAAACUGUCCACAGCUUUCAGUCUCCACAUUACUGUGAACCUCUGCAGGAAACCCUGACAGCAGCUUUUUAGCUCCAAAGCAGGUUUAGCUCUGGUGCAGAGUGUUAGUGACUCUGCCCGUGGACACAGUUAUUUCUGCAGGUGACCUUGUUACAGGUGGAUUUGGAGGAGAUUCCUUUCAGAGCACUCAAAGCUUUGUGGCAGGGAGUUUACUGCAGACUGCAGCAUGUUUAAUACCAAGCAUGAUGUGAGCCUGAUGUGGCUGAUAGCUGCUUCUAGCAGUCUUCAUGUAUGUGGAAUGAGAGGGGAGAUGUAUCAGGACCAGUUGCUGAUUGGACGUCCAAAGCUGUGAGCGCAGUGCUGAAACUUUGGCUCUGUCCUGUAGCUCUUCACUCAGUCCUCACCCUGAGUGUUUAGAGCCCAGCCCCACAUAUUCCUGCUCCUCAGGAAUUCUGGGAUUUGGAGGAAACACAGCUAAACUGAGCUGAAGCUAACACAGAGGUCAAGGGGGAGGAGCCACAAUACAAGCUGCAUCCAGCCAAUGGGUGCACUGUUGAGCCUGAGCCCAUGGAUGUGCAGAGGGUCACAUGUUUAGUCCCAUUUGUAGAAAUGUGUCCAUAAUGAGACAAAUGCAGUCACACAGCUCUGCAACAGCACAAUCACUUUGAUGGAGUUGUUUGUGCUGCUCUCAGAUCUGUACAACACUGACAUGUGUGUCAACAUGCUGCAGACUCACAAAGAUGUGCCGUGUUAGCUUCAUGUGUCCAUCUGACACUAUAUUAUAGUGACUUGAAGAAAUCCCUGCAGCAUCACAUGCAGAACAAACAGAGGCCACGUGUGGCACAGUUCCUGUAACGGGAUGAAUCCGUGGAUGUGUCGGGAUCUGACGCUGAAUCAUGUUGCUGUUCUUUUCCACAUGGUACAGGUCAGCUGUUCCACACAGAUUUCAGCUUUCUAGAAGAGUUAGUCUGGAAUAAAGCAGCUCUCCUCUGGACCAAUCCUGCUCCAGCUGAGCCGUCACACACACACAUUCACACACAGUCCCAGCAGUUUGUAGCACAGCAGUGAUCCUUCUAUCAGAAACAUGCUGCUUCUCCUUCAUCCUCCUCUCAUUGAUCUGAAUCAGCUGUUUUCACAGAGAAACGCUGACAAAUCCUUCACUCCACUAUUUCUGUCAGCAGAUGACUCGCUCUAUCAUGGCUGCUGCUCCUUUUUCACUCAUUUGUGCUUUGAAUCAAAUCUGUUUCUCAUCAUCACAUGAACAGGCUGCUCAUCAUCAGCACAUUAGCUGUAGAUCAGCUGCACACUGAUGAAGAUGCUCAGACAGACGGCACACAGAGGACUUUAUGAUCUGUUCUUACUUCAGUCCAACAUGGAUCAUUUCAGAGUCCAUCAUCUCUGGAAACUUGUGCUUACAUGGCAACGGGUGCGCUGGGCUACUUCAACAAAUAGCACUACACCUCUGGUUGUCAGCUUCAUCUCUCCAUCGCUCUCCCCGUGGCUACAGUACAAGUGAGCUGACACAUCCAUCAGUGGAGACUGUGGGCCAGUAAGGAGCAGCAGCUGCCUGCAACAUGGGCUUUACAUUGAAACAGCCACAAGUCUGGGCCUAACCACGCCUUGGACUUCUUCUUCAUUUCCAUGAGAUUUACAUUUCAGGGAGUUCCCUGGAAAAAGAGCCAUUUUGAAAGCUGUUUGCUGACUUCAUCAAUAAUCUGCUUCAAUCAUCCAGAUGAGAAUCCUGAGAAUGGAGCAGCCCUGAUAGCAGCUCAUAGGAUCACAGUGUUUUUCAUUCAGUGAUUGAUUUACAGGUUAGGAGGUGAACAAUCUAACUGUGCUCCUCCUUCCACCUUUGGACCACUCAUUUAGUGACAGCCAGGAUUUGACAAUCAGCUGUGACACAGGAAAACAUGAGGUGGGAAACUCUGGAGAAGAUUUGCUUUUCUCUACAGGGGAGGCUCGCACAUCUAAUCUGCUCACAAUCACUCAACUCACUUCAACAACAUGCUGACUCAGUCAUUUCUGCACGUUUCCUCAUGUUACAGCCCUGACUUCAGUUCAGCUGAGGAGAGAUGAGGGAGGAGAGAGCAGUGGUGGAGGAGGCAGAUAAGGAAGAAGAGGAGGAGAAGAUCCAAAGAGGAGGCAGGGGGAGGCUCAGGAACAGUUAGGAUCAGAGACUUUGAGCCAUCAUGGACUCCCACUCCUUCCAUCCAGCCCUGUGUGGAUCAGCAGCUCCAAAAUGUCUGCUCACUCAUGUUCUUACUGUCUGUGCUCUUCUUUCAUUUCACUCAUUAUAUAUGAACGGCUCCUAAAUCACACUGGAUAUGGAUUUUCUGUCCAUCCACACUAAUUCUCUUCAUUCUCACCUGAUUGUUUGGAUGCUCUUUGAUAGCAUUGAAAAUCCUCACAGUGACUUCUAUUGCCACACUGACUGGACAAAUACAAAGUUGAAGGCUUCAUGUGUUUGGCACAAAUAAGCAGCUUUAAAACUACUGAUAUUUAUACAUUUACAUUGAUUUGGACUAAACUAACAAAACUAUUGAUUUGAUCCAAACUCAAAUCAUGAUCAUGAUCAUGAUAUUUUGUCAUGAUUCGGCUGUGUGCAGGCAGG
ensembl:lncRNA